rnacentral:rRNA from 1 species
UACAGAGGUCCCGAGCGUUGUUCGGAUUUAUUGGGCGUAAAGGGUGCGUAGGCGGCGGAGUAAGUUGGGUGUGAAAUCCCGGGGCUUAACCUCGGAAUUGCAUUCAAUACUGCUUCGCUUGAGUACUGGAGAGGAGGCUGGAAUUUACGGUGUAGCAGUGAAAUGCGUAGAUAUCGUAAGGAAGGCCGGUGGCGAAAGCGAGCCUCUGGACAGUUACUGACGCUGAUGCACGAAGGCCAGGGGAGCAAACAGG